UGGCUCAGUGGUUAAGAGCACUGAACUGAUCUUUCAGAGGACCUGGGAUCAAUUCCCAG
rnacentral:tRNA from 1 species